rnacentral:piRNA from 1 species
UCAGAUUAGACUUCAUUUAAAAGAAAAAUA